CAAGUUUGUUUUGUUAUGAUGUAUUUUGACAUUUGAAUCUCAGACAUGCUUAGGAACUACUGAUUUGAAUUUAUGGGCUGACAGUUCCAGUAUUUCAAAUAGGAAGAAUGCUAUAUCAAAUAAGUUGAUGAUACUUUUGGUACUGGAGAAUGAAGCUAGACUGCAUUUGAUAUUAGAAGUUUGUUUGUCUGAUUGCAGUUGAUUAUAAAGAAGCUAGAGCUGAUAUUAGAAGUCUGAUAUUAGAAGUCUGUUUGUCUGACUGCAGUUGAUUAUAAAGAAGCUAGAGCUUCCAGUCAAGUUUGAUAUUAGAAGUCUUCUUUUGCUUUUACAUUUUGUUUUUUUUAUGAUCUUGAUCUUAGAAGCAGGGUUUUGGUACCAGCUUAACUAAUUUUCUGAAGUUUUAUGUUCUUACUUUAAUUAUAACUAGAUGAUUGCAAUAAGAUAUCAUGAGGCGCGCCAAGGAGAACAGGGGCCUCCUCCUUCGACAGGCAGCUGCUGCGGAAGGAGGUGGUGAGGAGGGUCAAGGCCGCGGUGGCGGGACGUGAGUGAAGUGAGCUUUGUCGAGCCUAUAUGUGGAGGUCGGUCGUGAAGCUGGGACUAGGACAAGGGCGAGCUGAAGGCUAGAAGCUGUAAAUGCACCCUUCAAGAGUCUUCAUAGGCCCAGUCUCUACGUAGGUGUUGACAAAAAGGAAAAUUCAUGACAAUGCGUUUAUAUGAGAUUGUCCAAUAUCGAAACCAAGAAUACAUGGGGGACAACUGUAUUCGAUUUUUGUUUCUCUUUCGUGGAGUAUUACUGAAAUAUAUGCUUCCAGUGUUGAAGUUUCCAAAUUAAAUGUUAUCUCUGUACAAAGUGUGCAGGCUCGGUUAUAGGAAUUUUAUAAAGCAAAUGACAAAUAUACAUGUACGAACUUCAAAUAUUUCCUGUGGAAGGAAACAGUGGGCGAUGAAAGCAAGGAAUUUGGGAGGUACAUGCGACAGAGAGAAGAGCAAGAGAAGCAGGAAGUGGAGUUGUUCACUCGGGCUCCUGUAACCAAACAUGAUAAGCAG